GCAAACUUGGUCAUUUAGAGGAAGUAAAAGUCGUAACAAGGUCUCCGUUGGUGAACCAGCGGAGGGAUCAUUACAGAGUUGUUUUCAAACUCCCAAAACCCAUGUGAACAUACCUCAUGUUGCCUCGGCAGGGCCGCGCCCGAGAAGAAAGCGCCCCGCACUCCGGUGCGGGGGGCCGGGGGCGGUUCUGCCGGCGGCCCACGAAACUUCGUUCUGCCGUGAAAUUCUGAAAUACGAACCUAAAAGCAAGUUAAAACUUUCAACAACGGAUCUCUUGGUUCUGGCAUCGAUGAAGAACGCAGC
rnacentral:misc_RNA from 1 species